rnacentral:rRNA from 1 species
GUCUAUGGCCAUACCACCCUGAACGCGCCCGAUCUCGUCUGAUCUUGGAAGCUAAGCAGGUCGGGCCUGGUUAGUACUUGGAUGGGAGAAUUGAGAGUUAAAAGUUAUAAAAG